UACGGAGGGUGCAAGCGUUGUCCGGAAUCACUGGGCGUAAAGGGCGCGUAGGCGGCUCAUGAAGGCUGUGGUGAAAGCCCCAGGCUCAACCUGGGAGGUGCACCCGAUACUGCAUGGCUCGAGUACUGGAGAGGUUGGUGGAAUUCUCGGUGUAGAGGUGAAAUUCGUAGAUAUCGAGAGGAACACCGGUGGCGAAGGCGGCCAACUGGACAGAUACUGACGCUGAGACACGAAAGCGUGGGGAGCAAACAGG
rnacentral:rRNA from 1 species